UCAGGCCUAACACAUGCAAGUCGUACGAGAGUUUUUAACUCAAGUGGCGGACGGGUGAGUAACACGUAAGAAUUUGCCUUUAGGAGGGGGAUAACAACUGGAAACGGUUGCUAAUACCCCAUAUGCUUUCGAGUGAAAUGGAAUUUUCCGCCUAGAGAGAAGCUUGCGGCUGAUUAGCUUGUUGGUAAGGUAAUGGCUUACCAAGGCGACGAUCAGUAUCUGGUUUGAGAGGACGAUCAGACACACUGGAACUGAGACACGGUCCAGACUCCUACGGGAGGCAGCAGUGGGGAAUUUUCCGCAAUGGGCGAAAGCCUGACGGAGCAAUACUGCGUGAGGGAUGACUGCCUAUGGGUUGUAAACCUCUUUUUUCAGGGAGGAAUAAAAUGACGUGUACCUGAAGAAUAAGCAUCGGCUAACUCCGUGCCAGCAGCCGCGGUAAGACGGAGGAUGCAAGUGUUAUCCGGAAUCACUGGGCGUAAAGCGUCUGUAGGUGGUUUAAUAAGUCAACUGUUAAAUCUUGGAGCUCAACUUCAAAAUCGCAGUCGAAACUAUUAGACUAGAGUAUAGUAGGGGUAAAGGGAAUUUCCAGUGGAGCGGUGAAAUGCGUAGAGAUUGGAAAGAACACCGAUGGCGAAGGCACUUUACUGGGCUAUUACUAACACUCAGAGACGAAAGCUAGGGUAGCAAAUGGGAUUAG
rnacentral:rRNA from 1 species